GGAUGCUGUGACUGAGGCUGAGGAGAAGAUUCAGAAGCUUGUGGUGUCCAAUACUCAGCUGGAGGAGAGAGUGAGGGAGCUGGAGGAACUGCUCUGUGAGGCAUGCAGAGAUGACAUGAAAAGCAAGGUCUCCCUGGCUGAAGCUGAGGAGAAACAUCAGAUGGCUGUGGAGACCAUUGCUCAGCUGAAGGUGGAGAAGUCUAGCCUGACAGACCAGGUGGAGACACCGCAAGGAACAGUGCAGUACAUGGGGAACCUGCUCCAUCCUGUUGAGGUGGAGAAGUCUAGCCUGAAAGACCAGGUGGAGACACUGCGAGGAACAGUGCAGGACAUGGAGAACAUGUUAUCUGAGACUCACACAGAGCGUGACAAGCUAAUGAAUGAGUGUGAGUGUGAGCGGGAGGAUCACAACAUCCUCAAGUACGAGUACGAGGAGAUGAAGGAGACUCUCAAUAACAAGGAGGAGUUACUGAAGGUCUCCCUGUCUGAAGCUGAGGAG
ensembl:lncRNA